GCUGCUUUGGAGGAGGAAAACCCAAGCUGCCUGCUCUUGCCAGAGUUUAAGGAGGUUGUAGUGCAUGGAAGGAGACCUGCCACAGGGGCUGUGAACAUGUGUUGGGGAGCAGAGAAUCUAAUUUUACACAUGAUGGGACUGCAGGACCAGGACAAACAAUAGGAGAAAUAAAAUGAGAAAGGACCAACGAUAAAGCACAUUAGAUACAUGAAUACCAUAAAUAAGAAUUACCCGAUUUACAAUGAAUUACCAAUAGGAGAGGAAAAUGAAAGGCAAACCGAAAGGGAAAAGAACCAAAAAGGACAGAAGCAGGAAUGUGAAAUCUCAGUAAUUGGAAAUCGGCCAA